rnacentral:rRNA from 1 species
UACGUAGGGUGCAAGCGUUAAUCGGAAUUACUGGGCGUAAAGCGUGCGCAGGCGGUUUUGUAAGCCAGAUGUGAAAUCCCCGGGCUUAACCUGGGAAUGGCAUUUGGGACUGCAAGGCUCGAGUGCGGCAGAGGAGACUGGAAUUCCUGGUGUAGCAGUGAAAUGCGUAGAUAUCAGGAGGAACACCGAUGGCGAAGGCAGGUCUCUGGGCCGAUACUGACGCUGAGGAGCGAAAGCGUGGGGAGCAAACAGG